rnacentral:tRNA from 4 species
GAAUGGUCGGGAUAGCUCAGCCGGUAGAGCAGAGGACUGAAAAUC